UAUAUUUGCGUCGCUUUUGGUUCCCGAAGCCUUUAAGGUUUCUGGAUUAAAAGGGAAUCCGGUGUAAUUCCGGAACUGUCCCGCAGCUGUAAGCUCUGUUAACCGCUAUCCAUUCUGUAGCCACUGUUUCGAUAUGAUCGCGACGGGAAGGCCGGAUAAGUGGGGAGUAAGUCAGAAGACCUGCCAUUGCACCAUAUGUAUU
rnacentral:ncRNA from 2 species